CUCAGCCUCUCGAGCAGCUGGACUACAGAGACACUGCCCCAGAGGAGCAAUGGCCACAUGAAGACGGAAGCAGAGGUCAGAGCGAUGCUCCCACAAGCCCGGCAAUGGCAAUGACUGCAGGUGUCUUCGUCUGCUGUGGCUGCUAAAGAUGUGGUAGACUGGGAGGCUCAAACAACAGACAUUUGUUUCUCACAGUUCUGGAAACUGGAAAGUUAGAGAUCAAGGUACUGGAAGAUUCGGUUCAAUCUGGGGAGGGCCUCUUCCUGGUUUUAAGCAUGGCUGCCUUCCUACUUCAGACCUCACAUGGCAGAGGGGGGAGAAGAAUGAGAGAGGAGAGCGCGAGAGAGCGCGCGAUCCCCUGUCUCUUUUUUCUUUUUUUCGGACAUAGAGUCUCACUCUGGCUGGAGUGCAGUGAUUUGAUCUCAGCUCACUGCAGCCUCUGCCUCCCGGGUUCAAGUGAUUUUCCCCCCUCAGCCUCCUGAGUAGCUGGGAUUACAGGCACCCCCCACCACACCUGGCUCAUUUUUGUAUUUUUAGUAGAGAUGGGGUUUCACCAUGUUGGCCAGGCUGGCCUCGAACUCCUGACCUCAAGUUAUCCACCCGCCUCGGCCUCCCACAGUGUUGGGGUUACAGGUGUGAGCCACUGCACCCGGCGUCCCCCAUCUCUUCUUAUAAGGGCACUCAUCCCAUCAUGGCAUCAGGGGGCUCUACCCCCAUGACAUCAUCUAACCCUGAUUACCUCCCAGAGAUGUCACCUCCUAAUACCAUACCGAACUGGGGAUUAGGGUUCAACAGAUGAAUUUUGGGGGGACACAUACACUCGGUUCAUAACAGCCAGGAACCACCAGAAGCUAGAAGAGGUGAGGAAGGAUCCCUUCCUUGAUGUGACACCUUCAUUUUACACUUCUGGCCUCUGGAACUGUGAGAGAAUAAAGUCUGUUGUUUUAAG
rnacentral:lncRNA from 1 species